CCCUUAGGUGUUCUGGGCCGCACGCGUGCUACACUGAGUGGAUCAGCGGGUCAGGUUGCGCGAAAGUGUUUCCUAAUCUUUAAAUCCGCUCGUGAUGGGGAUUGACGGUUGCAAUUUUCCGUCAUGAACGAGGAAUACCUUGUAAGCGCGGGUCAUCAUCCCGCGCUGAAUACGUCCCUGCCCUUUGUACACACCGCCCGUCGCUCCUACCGAUUGAGUGGUCCGGUGAGGCUUUGGGAUCUGAGCGGAAAGAGCGUUUCGCUGUUUCUGCCCGGAAAACUCAGUCGAACCUUAUCAUUUAGAGGAAGGAGAAGUCGUAACA
rnacentral:rRNA from 1 species